AUGCCAAAAUACUCGAUCAAUACACAAAAGAUGAUUGUUGUGGCUACUAUGACACUAUACAACUAUGUCUGCCUCCAUGACAAGGAGGAUCUCCACUUCCUUUGGUGUCAGAGGGAUUUGGAUUAUGUUCCAACUAUUCCAGAGAGAUAUAAGAAGCAUGUUAUUCCUCCAAAUGCAUCGGAUGCUUCAACAUCGGCGGUAAGUGCUCCUAACAUGGAUUUGUUUAGGCAUGAACUAGCUACCGCCAUUGCUCUUCAUUGGUGA
rnacentral:rRNA from 1 species